rnacentral:rRNA from 1 species
AGGAGCCGAAGAAGGACGGGACUAACACCGAUAUGCUUUGGGGAGCUGUACGUAAGCGUUGAUCCAGAGAUUUCCGAAUGGGGGAACCCACUAUCUUUAGUCGGAUAGUAUCCUUACGUGAAUACAUAGCGUGAGGAAGGCAGACCCAGGGAACUGAAACAUCUAAGUACCUGGAGGAAGAGAAAGAAAAAUCGAUUUCCUGAGUAGCGGCGAGCGAAACGGAAAGAGCCCAAACCAAGAAGCUUGCUUCUUGGGGUUGUAGGACACUCUAUACGGAGUUACAAAAGAAAGUUAUAAAUGAAGCGGUCUGGAAAGGCCCGCCAAAGACGGUAACAGCCCGGUAGUUGAAAUGGCUUUCCCUCCAGAGUGGAUCCUGAGUACGGCGGAACACGUGAAAUUCCGUCGGAAUCCGGGAGGACCAUCUCCCAAGGCUAAAUACUCCCUAGUGACCGAUAGUGAACCAGUACCGUGAGGGAAAGGUGAAAAGCACCCCGGAAGGGGAGUGAAACAGUUCCUGAAACCGUGUGCCUACAAGUAGUUAGAGCCCGUUAAUGGGUGAUAGCGUGCCUUUUGUAGAAUGAACCGGCGAGUUACGAUUUGUUGCAAGGUUAAGCGGAAAAAGCGGAGCCGUAGCGAAAGCGAGUCUGAAUAGGGCGCAUAAGUAACAGGUCGUAGACCCGAAACCAGGUGAUCUACCCAUGUCCAGGAUGAAGGUAAGGUAAUACUUACUGGAGGUCCGAACCCACGCACGUUGAAAAGUGCGGGGAUGAGGUGUGGGUAGCGGAGAAAUUCCAAUCGAACUUGGAGAUAGCUGGUUCUCUCCGAAAUAGCUUUAGGGCUAGCCUCGAGGUAAAGAGUCAUGGAGGUAGAGCACUGUUUGGACUAGGGGCCCUUCUCGGGUUACCGAAUU